rnacentral:misc_RNA from 1 species
CCGACUCGAGUCCCGGCCCGCGAUCGAUCACGACGCCACCGAGCCACGCACCGAUGGCGUUACCGAGAUUGAACGCGGCGAUGUUGAAGCUCGACGCCAGCGACUGGCCCGCACCAUGCGCCUUGUCCAGCACCCACAUCUGGAGCGGCGGCGCCGUUGCGAAGGCGGCGACGCCAAACAGACCGGCGAAGAUAACCAUCGCGAUCUUGUCGUGAAGCACGAAUGUCAUCAACGCGAGCACCAGCGCCAGAGUGAACAAG